rnacentral:rRNA from 1 species
AGUGAACGCUGGCGGUAGGCCUAACACAUGCAAGUCGAACGGCAGCACAGUAAGAGCUUGCUCUUACGGGUGGCGAGUGGCGGACGGGUGAGGAAUACAUCGGAAUCUACUUUUUCGUGGGGGAUAACGUAGGGAAACUUACGCUAAUACCGCAUACGACCUACGGGUGAAAGCAGGGGAUCUUCGGACCUUGCGCGAUUGAAUGAGCCGAUGUCGGAUUAGCUAGUUGGCGGGGUAAAGGCCCACCAAGGCGACGAUCCGUAGCUGGUCUGAGAGGAUGAUCAGCCACACUGGAACUGUGACACGCUCCAGACUCCUAAGGGAGGCAGCAGUGGGGAAUAUUGGCCAAUGGGCGCAAGUCUGCUCCAGCCAUACCGCGUGGGUGAAGAAGGCCUUCGGGUUGUAAAGCCCUUUUGUUGGGAAAGAAAAGCAGCAGGUUAAUACCCCGCUGUUCUGACGGUACCCAAAGAAUAAGCACCGGCUAACUUCGUG